GUGGGAGAAUGGUCUGCCGGUUGAUGUCGAAGUUCCAAGAUCGUUAGUAGUCCAUAGAGAGCCAAUCGAAAGCAUCAAGCUACAUUCGUUUGGAGACGCCAGCAAAAACGGGGUAGCAGCGUGUGUGUAUGCAGUCGUUGAGCAGGCAUCGGGCACAAACCAAGGCUUAGUAGCAGCAAGAGCUAGACUACCGAAGAAAGAACUAACAAUCCCGCGUUUAGAGUUGGUGGCAGCACAUAUGGCCGCCAACCUGGUAGUGAAUGUAAGCGAAGUGUUGAAUGGAUUUCCUGUUGAAAGUAGUUAUUGUUGGUCUGACAGCACAGUGGUUCUACACUGGAUCAAGGGAAAUGGGGAUUAUAAACAAUUCGUGGCCAAUCGUGUCAAGAAGAUCAAUGACCACCAAGAUCUGAUUUGGAGACAUGUACCAACGAGUGAUAACCCGGCGGAUCGUGCAAGCAGAGCUGGUGAUUUCGGUGAUGCAGUGCUGUGGUGGCGGGGACCAAAUUGGCUAAAGGACCCUAAACGUUGGCCAGAUGACAUUGUGCCUCAACCCACUGUUGAAAGUAAUGCUCAAGCGAAACUAGUGAAAAGUGUUCUUGCUGUUGCGGUGAAUGAUGGUAAUGAAGCUGAUGAAGUCUUAAAGAAGUUUCCCUUGCAGAAAGCUCUUCGUGUGUGUGCUUGGAUGCGAAGAUUUGCAAACAAUGCCCUUCAUAAAAGAGGACGAUCCCGCGUCAUAGGACCGUUGACCACUAGCGAACUUGCCCGCCAGCGUCAGUUCUACGUCAUUAAGAGAGCUCAGGAAAAUUGUGACCUUGACAAAAGAUGGUCAAAUGAAUACUUGGGGAGUUUGCGUGAGAGACACCGUACGAAGAAGACCAAACGUGGAUUUACACCAAAAGUUGGAGAUGUUGUCAUCAUUGCAGAUGAUGAAAAGAAACGAGGAAAAUGGUCGUUAGGUGUAGUCGAAGAACUAGUUGCUGGGAAAGAUGGAGAAGUAAGAGUUGCGAAAGUCCGCAGUAAAAAGUCUCAUCUUGAACGAGCAGUUCAACAACUGUAUCCUUUAGGACUAUCUUGCGAUGUUGAACCACCUGCUAAAGCAGUUAUGAAUCCAGAAGCACCUACGUUCAGGCCAAAGAGAGCUGCUGCAGUCGCCCCACGUCAACGUAUAAGAGGGGUGACCGAGAAUGGCCGUGACGAACACUGAGGAACAUUGAGACUUUGAACAAUCUGAACAUUUAUCUCCUCCUAAGAUAAAUGGGGGGAGGGUGUUGGAGAUUUACCGGUGUAGGGAUAGAUAGGGAUAAAUCGCCCGUUCGCGGGCUAGACGAUAAAAGUACGUUAUGUAAGUAAAUAUGAAAUGAUUCAAAGAUGGCGACGGGAAAAACGUACUAAAAACGUUAAACGUGAGAGAGUUGAUUUUGUUAAAGUUUGAGAUUUAUUAAAGGGAUUAUACAAUUGUGAGUUAGCAAUAACAUUUUGUGACUUAUCGUGGACACUCGGGAGGCGAAUUCACGAUAUUCCUUUUGAUGGCCUGACCGGUCAGACCCGAAUUCUUUUCUC
rnacentral:lncRNA from 1 species